CACGACGCUCAUCCGAUGGGUCAAUGUGAAGCUGGGUAAGGUGUGUGCGCCUAGGGGCAAGCACAGGGAGGGUGCUUAACGGUUAAAUAUAUGCACUGUUAAUAUGCUAAUGUUUCUUUCCCUACAGCACAAAAGGCAUUUCUUAAGAGCGCCCAAUUAAAGAAAA